AGGAGUGUCGUACAACGGCAGUACAGCGGUCUCCAAAACCGUCAAUGCGGGUUCGAUUCCUGCCACUCCUGCCA
rnacentral:tRNA from 1 species